rnacentral:rRNA from 1 species
GGGUUGUGAGGUUAAGCGACUAAGCGUACACGGUGGAUGCCCUGGCAGUCAGAGGCGAUGAAGGACGUGCUAAUCUGCGAAAAGCGUCGGUAAGGUGAUAUGAACCGUUACAGCCGGCGAUGUCCGAAUGGGGAAACCCAGUGUGAUUCGUCACACUAUCGUUAACUGAAUACAUAGGUUAACGAGGCGAACCGGGGGAACUGAAACAUCUAAGUACCCCGAGGAAAAGAAAUCAACCGAGAUUCCCCCAGUAGCGGCGAGCGAACGGGGAGCAGCCCAGAGUCUGAAUCAGCUUGUGUGUUAGUGGAACGGUCUGGAAAGUCCGACGGUACAGGGUGAUAGUCCCGUACACCAAAAUGCACAGGUUGUGAACUCGAAGAGUAGGGCGGGACACGUGGUAUCCUGUCUGAAUAUGGGGGGACCAUCCUCCAAGGCUAAAUACUCCUGACUGACCGAUAGUGAACCAGUACCGUGAGGGAAAGGCGAAAAGAACCCCGGCGAGGGGAGUGAAAAAGAACCUGAAACCGUGUACGUACAAGCAGUGGGAGCACCUUCGGGUGUGACUGCGUACCUUUUGUAUAAUGGGUCAGCGACUUAUAUUCUGUAGCAAGGUUAACCGUAUAGGGGAGCCGCAGGGAAACCGAGUCUUAACUGGGCGUUAAGUUGCAGGGUAUAGACCCGAAACCCGGUGAUCUAGCCAUGGGCAGGUUGAAGGUUGGGUAACACUAACUGGAGGACCGAACCGACUAAUGUUGAAAAAUUAGCGGAUGACUUGUGGCUGGGGGUGAAAGGCCAAUCAAACCGGGAGAUAGCUGGUUCUCCCCGAAAGCUAUUUAGGUAGCGCCUCGUGAAUUCAUCUUCGGGGGUAGAGCACUGUUUCGGCUAGGGGGUCAUCCCGACUUACCAACCCGAUGCAAACUACGAAUACCGAAGAAUGUUAUCACGGGAGACACACGGCGGGUGCUAACGUCCGUCGUGAAGAGGGAAACAACCCAGACCGCCAGCUAAGGUCCCAAAGUCACAGUUAAGUGGGAAACGAUGUGGGAAGGCACAGACAGCCAGGAUGUUGGCUUAGAAGCAGCCAUCAUUUAAAGAAAGCGUAAUAGCUCACUGGUCGAGUCGGCCUGCGCGGAAGAUGUAACGGGGCUAAACUGUGCACCGAAGCUGCGGCAGCGACACUAUGUGUUGUUGGGUAGGGGAGCGUUCUGUAAGCCUGCGAAGGUGGCCUGUGAGGGUUGCUGGAGGUAUCAGAAGUGCGAAUGCUGACAUAAGUAACGAUAAUGCGGGUGAAAAGCCCGCACGCCGGAAGACCAAGGGUUCCUGUCCAACGUUAAUCGGGGCAGGGUGAGUCGACCCCUAAGGCGAGGCCGAAAGGCGUAGUCGAUGGGAAACAGGUUAAUAUUCCUGUACUUGGUGUUACUGCGAAGGGGGGACGGAGAAGGCUAUGUUAGCCGGGCGACGGUUGUCCCGGUUUAAGCAUGUAGGCGGAGGUUCCAGGUAAAUCCGGUACCUUUUUAACGCUGAGGUGUGAUGACGAGGCACUACGGUGCUGAAGUAACAAAUGCCCUGCUUCCAGGAAAAGCCUCUAAGCAUCAGGUAACAUUAAAUCGUACCCCAAACCGACACAGGUGGUCAGGUAGAGAAUACCAAGGCGCUUGAGAGAACUCGGGUGAAGGAACUAGGCAAAAUGGUGCCGUAACUUCGGGAGAAGGCACGCUGAUAUGUAGGUGAAGCCCCUGCGGGUGGAGCUGAAAUCAGUCGAAGAUACCAGCUGGCUGCAACUGUUUAUUAAAAACACAGCACUGUGCAAACACGAAAGUGGACGUAUACGGUGUGACGCCUGCCCGGUGCCGGAAGGUUAAUUGAUGGGGUUAUCCGUAAGGAGAAGCUCUUGAUCGAAGCCCCGGUAAACGGCGGCCGUAACUAUAACGGUCCUAAGGUAGCGAAAUUCCUUGUCGGGUAAGUUCCGACCUGCACGAAUGGCGUAAUGAUGGCCAGGCUGUCUCCACCCGAGACUCAGUGAAAUUGAACUCGCUGUGAAGAUGCAGUGUACCCGCGGCAAGACGGAAAGACCCCGUGAACCUUUACUAUAGCUUGACACUGAACAUUGAGCCUUGAUGUGUAGGAUAGGUGGGAGGCUUUGAAGCGUGGACGCCAGUCUGCGUGGAGCCAACCUUGAAAUACCACCCUUUAAUGUUUGAUGUUCUAACGUUGGCCCCUUAUCGGGGUUGCGGACAGUGUCUGGUGGGUAGUUUGACUGGGGCGGUCUCCUCCCAAAGAGUAACGGAGGAGCACGAAGGUUAGCUAAUCCUGGUCGGACAUCAGGAGGUUAGUGCAAUGGCAUAAGCUAGCUUGACUGCGAGCGUGACGGCGCGAGCAGGUGCGAAAGCAGGUCAUAGUGAUCCGGUGGUUCUGAAUGGAAGGGCCAUCGCUCAACGGAUAAAAGGUACUCCGGGGAUAACAGGCUGAUACCGCCCAAGAGUUCAUAUCGACGGCGGUGUUUGGCACCUCGAUGUCGGCUCAUCACAUCCUGGGGCUGAAGUAGGUCCCAAGGGUAUGGCUGUUCGCCAUUUAAAGUGGUACGCGAGCUGGGUUUAGAACGUCGUGAGACAGUUCGGUCCCUAUCUGCCGUGGGCGCUGGAGAAUUGAGGGGGGCUGCUCCUAGUACGAGAGGACCGGAGUGGACGCAUCACUGGUGUUCGGGUUGUCAUGCCAAUGGCAUUGCCCGGUAGCUAAAUGCGGAAGAGAUAAGUGCUGAAAGCAUCUAAGCACGAAACUUGCCCCGAGAUGAGUUCUCCCUGAGACUUUAAGUCUCCUGAAGGAACGUUAAAGACGAUGACGUUGAUAGGUCGGGUGUGUAAGCGUAGCGAUACGUUGAGCUAACCGAUACUAAUGAACCGUGAGGCUUAACCUUACAACGCCGAAG